rnacentral:lncRNA from 1 species
GGCGCGUCUGAAUUCUAGGCCUUGUCCAGGACACUCUGUGGCUCCGGAUCCCCCGUCAAAUCCCAGCUUCUUCCUCCCCUCCCGGAGCUCGCCCCUCCUUGCGGUUCUGUGCUGCGUGGGCUGGGUUUGGGCUCCAGCGAAUCCGCUUGCGAGGAGGCUGGGCUCAUACUUGUGAUCCUCCAGCCUCAGCCUCCCAGAGUGCUGGGAAGACAGGCGUAGACCCCACGCCCAGCUUGGAGAGGACCUUCUUGCCAGGGGACACUCUGCAGAGUACUGAGGUGCUGCAAGACUUCACAUGGCAAGACAGAACACGCUGCCGGAGAGCGAUUUAUAAACAAGCCACUCCUUCAAUGAUCCGUUAAUACAGGUGAGGCUGAAUCUGCUCAGGGGCCUGGCCCUGCUGACCCAGUCCCCUCCCAGAGCCCCUGCCUCCAAAUGCCAUUACAGAGGCCAUGGGGAAGGAGUCUCCAGAGCACGGAUUCCAGGAGACACGACCAACCCUAACAGGCUGGCCCCUUGGAGACUAAGAUGUAGGUGCAGCGUGACCUGUGGUGAUCAAACUGGGGAUGUGUGGACAGGGCUGGGUCAGAUGGUACAUGAAGGACUUCAAAGGCUUAGGGGAUUAGUGUUAAGAGCAGGAGCCUGUGCCUCACCUGCCCUGGGACAGUCAGGAAA